rnacentral:rRNA from 1 species
UUGACCUCAAAUCAAGCAAGAUUACCCGCUGAACUUAAGCAUAUCAAUAAGCGGAGGAAAAGAAACUAACAAGGAUUCCCCUAGUAACUGCGAGUGGAAGCGGGAAAAGCUCAAAUUUAAAAUCUGGCAGUGGUUCACUGCCCGAGUUGUAAUCUAGAGAAGUGUUGCUCACACUGGGACCAUGUAUAAGUCUUCUGGAAUGAAGCGUCAUAGAGGGUGAAGAAUCCCGUCUUUGACAUGGAACUUCCCAGUGUAUUUGUAAGUAAUGCUCUCAAAGAGUCGAGUUGUUUGGGGAAUGGCAAGCUCU